UUUUUUUUGUGAAAUCAUUUCUGAAAUUUUUCAAAAUUUUUUUGGUUUUUCUAUGCCUUAGAUGUAUGCGGACUAAAAAAUAUACACAAUGCAAUACACACUUCCUGAGCCCUCCCCAAAACUUAAAUCACACAGUCCACUGUGUGGAUAAACUUGGAAGAGAGUACCCAGGACAAAUCCAUUCACAGAAACAAAAUAAAGAACAAAUCACAAGAGAUGAUAUAAUACAAUGGUGAAGUGAGGCGCUUACCUCAGUCGAAGAAUGAACGAAGUCGGUCGUCAAUGGCUGCUUGUGAUUGCUCCCUGGCCAUAGACGAACCGCCCUGUUCCGUAUCAGCUCCAGUAGGUGGGUACUCGACCUCCUCAGCUCUGUGGCGGCCAUCACCGCUCUGAGGAUACUCGACCUCUCUUCUUCAUGUAAACUACGAGAAUGCAGAAGUCGUCUACCCUUGUUGUUAGAUUGAGUGAGUGUGGUCCUCCUCUUCCUCCCAGAUUCAUGAGGCUCGAAUGAUGAAUGCCUCGCAGGGACAUGCAGAAUCUCCUGCUCUCUAGGCUCAGGUUUGCGCCGAAUUGGCUCGGGCGCGUCAUAUCUCCUCGAAGGCAUGUCCUGAGGGAGCUGUCCCUGUGGAAUAGCUGUAGUGGAAGUGGAGCAGCUGAUCUUAUCCUUCAGAAACUUGAUAGCCCUGAGGCACUUGGCGAGAAACUUAUCCUGUUUCUUGCACCACUUCUGCAGCUUGAUGUUAUUCCUGUGAGCUUCGCUCAAACUCUUGCUUUCCCUCGCUGGAAGUAUAUGCUCACUGAAAUGAUACAUGCUCGUGUCAAACUCCGCCUAAUCUAUGUCAUCUGUCUCAUCAACAUCUUCUGUUAUAGCUCCUUCGGUGUGACUAAUCUCCUCAGUUGGCAGACUGCCCUCGAAAUAAAGAUCUUCAAGCGCAGGCUUGAAGUCAAUGUUCCUGCCCUCAAGAAUCCUAGUAGCAUCAAUGUAGGGGAGAAGAAUGUUGGCGAUUCUAAUCGAUGAAUGCUCGAACCUGUAGCGGUGAAAGUCGCUAGCCAUGUCAAACUCCAAGAACUCACAUCGGCGCAAGUGAUCCAAGUCCAUCAUUCUCGGUGCUAACCCUGGUUCCUUAAGCGGUACUCCACAAGCUUCCAGAAUUGGCGUCACAACGCCAUCCAUGCAUAGUGCUCCUGUCACCUUAUUCUUGUCGUUCGUCAACGCCCACUUCCUAUAUCCACACAGGUGGAUCAACAGAGGCAUGACUAGUGGUGCGUUGUUGAGAUCGCCUCUCAAGACAUUCUUUCCCUUUGUACAGCAGAGAAUCCCUGUAAGCGCGGAAUCUAUCAUCUCCAUGUCCGUGUUAGACACGGUGCAUGUAGACUCCCUAGAGUAAAAAACGUUGGCAACCGAGCGGUGAAAGUAGCGGAUCACAGGACUCCGGAUUUGGUUGCUUUUGGACCGCGCCAAGUUUAGCGGUAAAUUAUUCCCAAUAGUAGCCCACAAAUCCUUAAGCUCUUCCCUGUCAAACCUGGUUUUGGUUCCCUUUCCACUAGGGAAACAAAACAGUUCUUCCAACUUCUUGAUCGAAAGCUGAUACCACUGUUCAUCCAUUGAGAACGUCAAGAACCCUAACCCUAAACCCUAAACCCUAAACCCUAAACCCUAAACCCUAAACCCUAAACCCUAAACCCUAAACCCUAAACCCUAAACCCUAAACCCUAAACCCUAAACCCUAAACCCUAAACCCUAAACCCUAAACCCUAAACCCUAAACCCUAAACCCUAAACCCUAAACCCUAAACCCUAAACCCUAAACCCUAAACCCUAAACCCUAAACCCUAAACCUUAAACCCUAAACCCUAAACCCUAAACCCUAAACCCUAAACCCUAAACCCUAAACCCUAAACCCUAAACCCUAAACCCUAAACUCAAUGUAUGUGAGUCCCUCAUACAUCUCCACUUGCAGUGUGGAAAGAAACUCGAUUGUCUCCUCCUUAUAGGAAGCGUAAGAGUAAGACAUGAGUGUUUCCAGAUGCCACUUCUCGAACAGAUGCUGCACGUCCUCCAGUAACCCCAGCUGGGCUAAAGUCUCAUAGUAGGGAUACCUCGUUCCCCAUAAAUCAUUCAUCUCAAAGAAUCUGAUAUACUCCUCCACUGUAACCUAUUCGGGUUUGUUCAGUAGCUUCGUCUUCUUGCACCAUGACUUUGGCUCAUACUCAGUUUUGAUGUCCUCAUCAAUCAGCUCAUAUCUACUGGGCAUCGCUCUCUUCCCUCUGGUGAUUUCUGCUCUUCUCUGAUUACGUCGAGCAGAGGAGCGUUGAAAUUCAUCCCUGAAGCUCUCGUAAACAUGUUCCUCUCUCUCCGGUCUAGAGGACCAGGACUCAGCUUCAUCCACAUUAUAAUCAGGAUCCAUAGAGGAUUCUCGACUGUAGUUACUCAUGAUCAAACCUGUAAACAAUUGAAACUCAAAGAUAAACGUUAAUAAGUUAGUCUCAACAAAACCAAAAACACAAACCAACACAGUAAACCGGUCGAGUGAUGUAAUCGAGUAAACCUUCGUUUAAUUUUUUUUU
rnacentral:sRNA from 1 species